GAUGAAGAACGCAGCGAAAUGCGAUAAGUAGUGUGAAUUGCAGAAUUUAGUGAAUCAUCGAGUCUUUGAACGCAAGUUGCGCCCGAAGCCAUUAGGCCGAGGGCACGCCUGCCUGGGCGUCACACGUCGUUGCCCCCCCAUCUACUCCUUCGGGAUUGCGGGGGGCGGAUGAUGGCCUCCCGUGCGCCUCGUCGCGCGGUUGGCAUAAAUGCCAAGUCCUCGGCGACGCACGCCACGACAAUCGGUGGUUGCGAAACCUCGGUUGCCCGUCGUGUGCGGUCGUCGCGCAUCGAGGGCUCGAAAAAAUUGCCGGGCUCCGGCUCGGCUUUCAACGCGACCCCAGGUCAGGCGGGGUUACCCGCUGAAUUUAAGCAUAUCAAUAAGCGGAGGA
rnacentral:misc_RNA from 1 species